UACAGAGGGUGCAAGCGUUAAUCGGAAUUACUGGGCGUAAAGCGUGCGUAGACGGUUGCGUAAGUCAGAUGUGAAAGCCCCGGGCUCAACCUGGGAAUUGCAUUCGAUACUGGAUAGCUAGAGUUCGGCAGAGGGAAGCGGAAUUUCCGGUGUAGCGGUGAAAUGCGUAGAUAUCGGAAGGAACAUCAGUGGCGAAAGCGGCUUCCUGGACCAGAACUGACGAUCAGGCUCGAAAGCGUGGGGAGCAAACAGG
rnacentral:rRNA from 1 species